rnacentral:rRNA from 1 species
CAAACCAAAGCUGGCGACCGGCGCACGGGUGAGUAACACGUAUCCAACCUGCCUCAUACUCGGGGAUAGCCUUUCGAAAGAAAGAUUAAUAUCCGAUAGCAUAUAUUUCCCGCAUGGGUUUUAUAUUAAAGAAAUUCGGUAUGAGAUGGGGAUGCGUUCCAUUAGUUUGUUGGGGGGUAACGGCCCACCAAGACUACAAUGGAUAGGGGUUCUGAGAGGAAGGUCCCCCACAUUGGAACUGAGACACGGUCCAA